rnacentral:rRNA from 1 species
CAGUCGCCGCGGGAAUACCGAGGGUGCAAGCGUUAAUCGGAAUUACUGGGCGUAAAGCGCGCGUAGGUGGUUUGUUAAGUUGGAUGUGAAAGCCCCGGGCUCAACCUGGGAACUGCAUCCAAAACUGGCAAGCUAGAGUACGGUAGAGGGUGGUGGAAUUUCCUGUGUAGCGGUGAAAUGCGUAGAUAUAGGAAGGAACACCAGUGGCGAAGGCGACCACCUGGACUGAUACUGACACUGAGGUGCGAAAGCGUGGGGAGCAAACAGGAUUAGAUACCCGAGUAGUCCCUGUCUCUUAUAC